rnacentral:rRNA from 1 species
GGUCAUACCACCCUGAAUGCACCUGAUCUAGACUGAUCUAGGAAGCUAAACAGAGUUAUGGCUGGUUAGUACUUGGAACGGAGAAAGAAAAAUAAAAGACACC